rfam:Drosophila ananassae strain TSC#14024-0371.13 Ctg01_17668, whole genome shotgun sequence.
AUUCUGGUUGAUCCUGCCAGUAGUUAUAUGCUUUGUCUCAAAGAUUAAGCCAUGCAUGUCUAAGUACACACGCAUUAAAAGUGAAAACCGCAAAAGGCUCAUUAUAUCCAGUUAUGGUUCCUUAGAUCGUUAACAGUUACUUGGAAUAACUGUGGUUAAUUCUAGAGCUAAUACAUUGCAAUUUAAAACAUGAACCUUAUGGGACAUGUGCUUUUAUUAGGCUAAAACCAAGCGAUCGCAAGAUCGUUAUAUUGGUUGAACUCUAGAUAACAUGCAGAUCGUAUGGUCUUGUACCGACGACAGAUCUUUCAAAUGUCUGCCCUAUCAACUUUUGAUGGUAGUAUCUAGGACUACCCUGGUUGCAACGGGUAACGGGGAAUCAGGGUUCGAUUCCGGAAAGGGAGCCUGAGAAACGGCUACCACAUCUAAGGAAGGCAGCAGGCGCGUAAAUUACCCACUCCCAGCUCGGGGAGGUAGUGACGAAAAAUAACAAUACAGGACUCAUAUCCGAAGCCCUGUAAUUGGAAUGAGUACACUUUAUAUCCUUUAACAAGGACCAAUUGCAGGGCAAGUCUGGGUGCAGCAGCCGCUGUAAUUCCAGCUCCCAUAGCGUAUAUUAAAGUUGUUGCGGUUAAAACGUUCGUAGUUGAACUUGUGCUUCAUACGGGUAGUACAACAUACAAUUGUAGUUAGUACUAUACCUUUAUGUAUGUAAGCGUAUUACCGGUGGAGUUCUUAUAUAUGUUUAAAUACUUGUAUUUUUUCAUAUGUUCCUCCUAUUUAAAAACCUGCAUUAGUGCUCUUAAACGAGUGUUAUUGUGGGCCGGUACAAUUACUUUGAACAAAUUAGAGUGCUUAAAGCAGGCUUCAAAUGCCUGAAUAUUCUGUGCAUGGGAUAAUGAAAUAAGACCUCUGUUCUGCUUUCAUUGGUUUUCAGAUCAAGAGGUAAUGAUUAAUAGAAGCAGUUUGGGGGCAUUAGUAUUACGACGCGAGAGGUGAAAUUCUUGGACCGUCGUAAGACUAACUUAAGCGAAAGCAUUUGCCAAAGAUGUUUUCAUUAAUCAAGAAACGAAGUUAGAGGUUCGAAGGCGAUCAGAUACCGCCCUAGUUCCUAACAUAAACGAUGCCAGCUAGCAAUU